CUCAUUGCCAGCAGGAGAGUCAGGGUGAAAAGGCAGGACUGACCAACUCUCUUGCUCCAAAGCAUUCAGAAAACAUUAGCCAGUUACUCCUAGAUGGCACUGGACGCCUACCUUCAUGCAAUGUCCAUUCAGACCAUAACCUGUUAGUUCUCUGGAACGGAAGGAAACCUGAAGAGAAGCCACCCUCCUGAAGUCAGCUUUGUCACUGGUAACCAAGCUCACAUGCGUGCCACACCUUCUCCUUUAUGGGGACCAUACCAUUGUGAGCCACCUGGCUACAGGUUCCCAGUAUAGUGGGUAAGCCCCUGCCCUCAUCUGUCUAGAGAAGCCAAGGCUGCCAGCUCCUUCUCUAUCACAUGCCACUAUGAGAACAGCAUCUCAACUCCUCUUUCCUCAGGGACGAAAAGGAAGUUCUGGGUGGUCCAUCACUGUCUAAGCAUCUGUACAUCACAGAGAAAGGUGCUGUGCUCCACGGCCUUGGGCAAAUUCAUCUCACGAACAAAACCACAUCCACAAGAUAAAUCCAUGUGGACAAGAAGAAAUGACUGGACAUACCUAGAGGGAAGAAAUGAAUCCUACUUUCACCAGUAGUAAGACCUUGAAGUGCCCCACAGGCUUCUGAAAUAAGGGAAGGCAACCAUGGGUAAAGGUUCAUACAUGAAUUUUUCUGAGGUAACUGUGUGCACUUCCCAUGUGACUCUUAAAAGAUAACCACUUAUCUAGAAGAGGAGUCAGCCAACAACAAAUAAAAAGAGCCAACUGAUAGA